rnacentral:tRNA from 1 species
CCCGGAUAGUUAAAUUAAACACUUAGGUCGUGACCCUAAAAAUUAGAGACGAACUCUUCCGAGCU